UUGUCCUGGGGUAGUGUGUAGGGUAGUUAAUAGGCAAAUCCGUUAACUGUAAACCUGAGACACGAGUCCGAGCCGCUUUUUAGGCGAAGUCAUUAAUUCCAUACUUCCAAGAAAAACUUCUAGUUAGUUUUAUUAGUGCCCGUACCCCAAACCGACACAGGUGGACAAGUAGAGAAUACUAAGGCGAGCGAGAGAACUCUGGUUAAGGAACUCGGCAAAAUAGUUCCGUAACUUCGGGAGAAGGAACGCCCAAGUAAAGUGAUUAAUUAACUUUAUAAGCUUGAACGGGCCGCAGUGAUCAGACUCAAGCGACUGUUUAUCAAAAACACAGGAGGGUGCAAAGUUCUAAUACAACGUAUACCCUCUGACACCUGCCCGGUGCUGGAAGGUUAAGUGGAGAGGUUAGCUUCGGCGAAGCUUUGAAAUUAAGCCCCAGUAAACGGCGGCCGUAACUAUAACGGUCCUAAGGUAGCGAAAUUCCUUGUCGGGUAAGUUCCGACCUGCACGAAUGGUGUAACGAUUUGAGUACUGUCUCAACCAGAGACUCGGCGAAAUUGCAAUGUGAGUAAAGAUGCUCACUAUGCGCGACAGGACGGAAAGACCCCGGAACCUUUACUGCAACUUGAUAUUGAAUGUUGGUGUGCAGUAUGCAGGAUAAGUGGGAGACUUUGAAACAAUCACGCUAGUGGUUGUGGAGUCAUCCUUGAGAUACCACUUUCUUCAUAUUGACCUUCUAACCUAGAUCCGUUAUCCGGAUCAGGGACAUUGUCUGGUAGGCAGUUUCACUGGGGCGGUGGCCUCCUAAAAAGUAACGGAGGCGCUCAAAGGUCACCUCAGCGUGGACGGCAAUCACGCAUUGAGUGUAAGUGCAAAAGGUGGCUUGACUGUGACACAAACAAGUGAAGCAGGUACGAAAGUAGGAACUAGUGAUCCCAUGGUUGCAUGUGGGUGCGCCAUGGCUCAUCGGCUAAAAGGUACUCCGGGGAUAACAGGCUUAUACCCCCCAAGAGUCCAUAUCGACGGGGGUGUUUGGCACCUCGAUGUCGGCUCUUCUCAUCCUGGGGCUGGAGCAGGUCCCAAGGGUUAGGCUGUUCGCCUAUUAAAGAGGAACGCGAGCUGGGUUCAGAACGUCGUGAGACAGUUCGGUCCCUAUCCGUCGCGCACGUAAGAAAUUUGAAGAAAGUUGUCCCUAGUACGAGAGGACCGGGAUGAACGAUCCGCUGGUGUGCCAGUUGUUCUGCCAAGAGCACGGCUGGUUAGCUACGA
rnacentral:rRNA from 1 species